GACGGACGCUGGCGGCGUGCCUAACACAUGCAAGUCAAGGAGAAUUCCCGACUUGUCGGGAUAGUAAACUGGCGAACGGGUGAGUAACACGUAGGUAAUCUACCCUCGGGAUCGGGAUAACCUCGCGAAAGUGGGGAUAAUACCGAAUAAAGUCUCGGUAUAAUUUGUCGAGAUGAAAGAUGGGGAUCUUCGGACCUAUUACCUGAGGAUGAGCCUGCGCCUGAUUAGCUAGUUGGUAGGGUAAAUGUCUACCAAGGCAACGAUCAGUAGCUGGUCUGAGAGGAUGAUCAGCCACAUUGGGACUGAGAUACGGCCCAGACUCCUACGGGAGGCAGCAGUGAGGAAUUUUGCGCAAUGGGCGAAAGCCUGACGCAGCAACGCCGCGUGACUGAUUAAGCUCUGAGGAGUGUAAAAGUCUGUCGUAGAGGAAGAAACUAUCCGAUAAGAAUAUUGUCGGAUACUGACGGUACUCUAUGAGAAAGCUCCGGCUAA
rnacentral:rRNA from 1 species